CACACAUCCUUUCUCUUUCUGUCCUUGCUUUUCCUUGUGCUGUCUCCCUUCGUACGACACGAGCACGUGUGCUCGGUGUGCAUCCCCACAGGGUAGGUCUCGGGGGGCCAUGAUGAAGUAGGAGGGGAUGAAAAUUGUGCAAGGUAGCGGGCGCGGGAGUGGAGGGGUGACUGUCAGUGUUAACUUGGUCUCUGUUCAUCAAGUUUGGCAGAUGUAGAUGGGCUGGAAGAGGGAGGCAGGGAUGAGGGCAAGAUUUCAAGCAUCAGUGGAGAUGUGUGUAGUGAUGGCUCAUGCUUGGCUUUUGCAGAUCCAUUUCCAGAGGAAUUUCCCAGGAGCCGUAGCCGGAGGAGAGGUUGGCAGAUGUGGACAUGAGGAAACUGAACAUCCUUCUGAGCAGACACGAACAGUCCUCGGCUUUCUGCUUCCCACAUAACUGGCUUUUGCAGAGGAAUCAUCCAGGAGCCCUCACCGAACGAGAAUAUGCAGAAGUGGAUGUGAGCAGCCUGGACAUCCUUCUAAGGAGACCUCAACAGUCCUCAGGUUUCUGCCUUCUGCCUAACUGGCUUAGCAAGAGAAAAGAAGUCACAGGCCAGAGUCUACUGCCCUCGUGCAAUGGAAAGAGAGCAAGAGCGAUGAGUCUGCAAGCGUUGUUGAUGCGACGCAGAAGGCGUCCAUCUGGGAGCGGAACCGCCACCACUCUCAAUGAGAUAAGUGUCUUCUUUGGUGAUCGCUCUGCUCAAGGCCCAUCUUGCUCCCGGUAGGGACGCCCCGUUAGCUGGGGCUGGGUUUGUAAGAAAAGGUUCCUGACUAGUUGUGGUUACAAGGGAGACGAUGUCCCCAUUUUCAGGGGCUGCUCAUGUCUCUGGCCAGGACCAG